rnacentral:rRNA from 1 species
AGAGUUUGAUCCUGGCUCAGAGCGAAGNNGGCAGGNNUACACAUGCAAGUCGAGCGCCGUAGCAAUACGGAGCGGCAGACGGGAGAGUAACACGUGGGAACGUGCCCUUCAGUUCGGAACAACCCAGGGAAACUUGGGCUAAUACCGGAUACGUCCGUAAGGAGAAAGAUUUAUCGCUGAAGGAUCGGCCCGCGUCUGAUUAGCUAGUUGGUGAGGUAACGGCUCACCAAGGCGACGAUCAGUAGCUGGUCUGAGAGGAUGAUCAGCCUCACUGGGACUGAGACACGGCCCAGACUCCUACGGGAGGCAGCAGUGGGGAAUAUUGGACAAUGGGCGCAAGCCUGGUCCAGCCAUGCCGCGUGGGUGAUGAAGGCCCUAGGGUUGUAAAGCCCUUUCGGCGGGGAAGAUAAUGACGGUACCCGCAGAAGAAGCCCCGGCUAACUUCGUGCCAGCAGCCGCGGUAAUACGAAGGGGGCUAGCGUUGCUCGGAAUCACUGGGCGUAAAGCGCACGUAGGCGGCUUUUUAAGUCAGGGGUGAAAUCCUGGAGCUCAACUCCAGAACUGCCCUUGAUACUGAGAAGCUUGAGUCCGGGAGAGGUGAGUGGAACUGCGAGUGUAGAGGUGAAAUUCGUAGAUAUUCGCAAGAACACCAGUGGCGAAGGCGGCUCACUGGCCCGGUACUGACGCUGAGGUGCGAAAGCGUGGGGAGCAAACAGGAUUAGAUACCCUAGUAGUCC